rnacentral:rRNA from 1 species
GCGACCGGCGCACGGGUGGGUAACACGUAUCCAACCUGCCGAUGACUCGGGGAUAGCCUUUCGAAAGAAAGAUUAAUACCCGAUGGCAUAGUUCUUCCGCAUGGUGGAACUAUUAAAGAAUUUCGGUCAUCGAUGGGGAUGCGUUCCAUUAGGUUGUUGGCGGGGUAACGGCCCACCAAGCCUUCGAUGGAUAGGGGUUCUGAGAGGAAGGUCCCCCACAUUGGAACUGAGACACGGUCCAAACUCCUACGGGAGGCAGCAGUGAGGAAUAUUGGUCAAUGGACGAGAGUCUGAACCAGCCAAGUAGCGUGAAGGAUGACUGCCCUAUGGGUUGUAAACUUCUUUUAUACGGGAAUAAAGUGAGGCACGUGUGCCUUUUUGUAUGUACCGUAUGAAUAAGGAUCGGCUAACUCCGUGCCAGCAGCCGCGGUAAUACGGAGGAUCCGAGCGUUAUCCGGAUUUAUUGGGUUUAAAGGGAGCGUAGGCGGACGCUUAAGUCAGUUGUGAAAGUUUGCGGCUCAACCGUAAAAUUGCAGUUGAUACUGGGUGUCUUGAGUACAGUAGAGGCAGGCGGAAUUCGUGGUGUAGCGGUGAAAUGCUUAGAUAUCACGAAGAACUCCGAUUGCGAAGGCAGCCUGCUGGACUGUAACUGACGCUGAUGCUCGAAAGUGUGGGUAUCAAACAGGAUUAGAUACCCUGGUAGUCCACACAGUAAACGAUGAAUACUCGCUGUUUGCGAUAUACAGUAAGCGGCCAAGCGAAAGCGUUAAGUAUUCCACCUGGGGA